rnacentral:lncRNA from 13 species
GUAAAAACCAGAGAGAAAAAGUGUUUCAGGCAGAAGAAACAGAAAAUAUAAAGACCCCAAAGCAGAAAUGACACUGGUAUAACACACACACGCAUCCGCACAUGCACUGACAGAAGAUGAGAGGGACUGCAGUGCCCCUUCAACUGCUAAGUCCCUUGGGAAGGAACUGGAGCAGUGGAAAUUUUAUAUCCAACUCUUCUAAUUGGAGCUAUAGGAUAUAUGGGCCAUGAAGCCAGCAGUGUAGGUGCCAUGGCUUUAGCCUUUGACAUCCUCUCACUAAAACAGAAGGAAAAAUUUGCGUUGCUAGGAUACCCUCGCAUUCUAGACUCUGCAAUGCCUUGAGCCUUUGACUCUUGACUUUUAUGUCUUUUUUCAUCUGUCAAGGCUCUCAGAUGAAAGGAGAGUAUCAGGAAGCCAUGUACUGGCAUCACACUUUGCAAGAUACAGAUUGACUUCUCUUAUUUCUUCUCUCAUUUAAGCAUUCUCCUUUCCUUUCUUCUAAUUGGUUCCAGAAGUUCUUGAUACAAAUGUCAUGUUGGGUGAACAGUGGCAAAUGUAUGCUAACUCAAGUGCCAGUCCCGACCCAUUGUGGCAACUGCCUAGAAAACUAUGUGAAGAAGCAUUCUAAGCUAAGGUAAAGGGCACAUCAGAGAGUGGGAGAGAAAACUAGUCAACAUCUUUAUUAAAUUUGGUGCCCGAUGCAAGAAAACUUAUCAUAGUUGCCUUAAAUAACAAACGUUCCUGACAAGAGUGUGACCUCAAAGACUGCAGGUUUUAAGAAGAUGCUUGCCAUGUUGUCAACAGUCACCGCUGAGAUAAUGCAGUAGAACGAGUUAUACGAGAACCUGAAGGAACUAUGGAAAGUGAAAGAAUUAUUUUUUCUCAAAAAGCAGAUGUCCUUUCACAACAGGAAGAAUACAUGAGAAGAAGUGGCCUGUCACUUCCAUUGAUAUGGACUGGAGACAGGAAAACACUGGAUAAAAGAGGCCAGUCCCUGAGAAAGGCCCCACCCUCAAGCCUGAAGGCCCUAAAUAUGGACAGACAUUCCUGUUAUCAUGCCACAGUUUUUGCCUUUUGGCCUGCCACAGCCCCAUCCUGUACCCAUAUAAACCCUGAACCCCUGGUUUCACAGGCAGAUAAGCAAAGAGAUGAGGAGAUACACACAUUAAGGGCAGAAUGAUGUGACAGAGAAAGAGAGAGGAGGAGGAAUGUCUGAAUGCCAAGAGGAAUUCAUCCAAGGGUGGUCUGAGAGGUGUUUGGCUUGUGGACAGUGAGACUCCAGAAGAGGAUCUUCAUACCAUUCCAUUACCAUUUUCCACUACACAUCCCUCCUGCUGAGAGCCAUCUCUACCACACAAUAAAACCCCUGUAUCCAUCCUUUGAGUCUUGUGU